rnacentral:rRNA from 1 species
CCCUUAGAUGUUCUGGGCCGCACGCGCGCUACACUGAUGCAUUCAACGAGUUUUGUUUGUUCCUUGGCCGAGAGGCCUGGGCAAUCUUUUGAACUUGCAUCGUGAUAGGGAUAGAUUAUUGCAAUUAUUAACCUUGAACGAGGAAUUCCUAGUAAACGCAGAUCAUCAAUCUGCAUUGAUUACGUCCCUGCCCUUUGUACACACCGCCCGUCGCACCUACCGAUUGAAUGGUCCGGUGAAGCCUCGGGAUUGUGGUUGGUUUCCUUUAUUGGAGAUUGAUUGCGAGAACUUGUCUAAACCUUAUCAUUUAGAGGAAGGUGAAGUCGUAACA